GACGAACGCUGGCGGCGUGCUUAACACAUGCAAGUCGAACGGAAAGGCCCUGCUUUUGUGGGGUGCUCGAGUGGCGAACGGGUGAGUAACACGUGAGUAACCUGCCCUUGACUUUGGGAUAACUUCAGGAAACUGGGGCUAAUACCGGAUAGGAGCUCCUGCUGCAUGGUGGGGGUUGGAAAGUUUCGGCGGUUGGGGAUGGACUCGCGGCUUAUCAGCUUGUUGGUGGGGUAGUGGCUUACCAAGGCUUUGACGGGUAGCCGGCCUGGGAGGGUGGCCGGCCACAUGGGGACUGAGAGACGGCCCAGACUCCUACGGGAGGCAACAGUGGGGAAUAUUGCACAAUGGGCGGAAGCCUGAUGCAGCAACGCCGCGUGCGGGAUGACGGCCUUCGGGUUGUAAACCGCUUUCGCCUGUGACGAAGCGUGAGUGACGGUAAUGGGUAAAGAAGCACCGGCUAACUACGUG
rnacentral:rRNA from 1 species